CUUGUUGGUGGGGUAAUGGCCUACCAAGGCGACGACGGGUAGCCGGCCUGAGAGGGCGACCGGCCACACUGGGACUGAGACACGGCCCAGACUCCUACGGGAGGCAGCAGUGGGGAAUAUUGCGCAAUGGGCGAAAGCCUGACGCAGCGACGCCGCGUGAGGGAUGAAGGCCUUCGGGUUGUAAACCUCUUUCAGCAGGGAAGAAGCGCAAGUGACGGUACCUGCAGAAGAAGCACCGGCUAACUACGUGCCAGCAGCCGCGGUAAUACGUAGGGUGCAAGCGUUGUCCGGAAUUAUUGGGCGUAAAGAGCUCGUAGGCGGUCUGUCGCGUCUGCUGUGAAAACUCGGGGCUUAACCCCGGGCCUGCAGUGGGUACGGGCAGACUAGAGUGCGGUAGGGGAGACUGGAAUUCCUGGUGUAGCGGUGAAAUGCGCAGAUAUCAGGAGGAACACCGGUGGCGAAGGCGGGUCUCUGGGCCGUAACUGACGCUGAGGAGCGAAAGCGUGGGGAGCGAACAGGAUUAGAUACCCUGGUAGUCCACGCCGUAAACGUUGGGCGCUAGGUGUGGGGCUCUUUCCACGAGUUCCGUGCCGCAGCAAACGCAUUAAGCGCCCCGCCUGGGGAGUACGGCCGCAAGGUUAAAACUCAAAGGAAUUGACG
rnacentral:rRNA from 1 species